GAUGAACGCUGGCGGCGUGCCUAAUACAUGCAAGUCGAGCGAACGGACGAGAAGCUUGCUUCUCUGAUGUUAGCGGCGGACGGGUGAGUAACACGUGGAUAACCUACCUAUAAGAAUGGGAUAACUUCGGGAAACCGGAGCUAAUACCGGAUAAUAUUUUGAACCGCAUGGUUCAAAAGUGAAAGACGGUCUUGCUGUCACUUAUAGAUGGAUCCGCGCUGCAUUAGCUAGUUGGUAAGGUAACGGCUUACCAAGGCAACGAUGCAUAGCCGACCUGAGAGGGUGAUCGGCCACACUGGAACUGAGACACGGUCCAGACUCCUACGGGAGGCAGCAGUAGGGAAUCUUCCGCAAUGGGCGAAAGCCUGACGGAGCAACGCCGCGUGAGUGAUGAAGGUCUUCGGAUCGUAAAACUCUGUUAUUAGGGAAGAACAUAUGUGUAAGUAACUGUGCACAUCUUGACGGUACCUAAUCAGAAAGCCACGGCUAACUACGUG
rnacentral:rRNA from 1 species